GACGAACGCUGGCGGCGUGCUUAACACAUGCAAGUCGAACGAAGACAUCUGAGUGCUUGCACUUGGAUGGACUGAGUGGCGGACGGGUGAGUAACGCGUGGGUAACCUGCCUUAUACAGGGGGAUAACAGUUGGAAACGACUGCUAAUACCGCAUAAGCGCACGGUAUCGCAUGAUACAGUGUGAAAAACUCCGGUGGUAUAAGAUGGACCCGCGUCUGAUUAGCUUGUUGGUGAGGUAACGGCCCACCAAGGCGACGAUCAGUAGCCGGCCUGAGAGGGUGAACGGCCACAUUGGGACUGAGACACGGCCCAAACUCCUACGGGAGGCAGCAGUGGGGAAUAUUGCACAAUGGGGGAAACCCUGAUGCAGCGACGCCGCGUGAGUGAUGAAGUAUUUCGGUAUGUAAACUCCUGUUGUUGAGGAAGAUAAUGACGGUACUCAACAAGGAAGUGACGGCUAACUACGUG
rnacentral:rRNA from 1 species